rnacentral:rRNA from 1 species
GACGAACGCUGGCGGCGUGCCUAAUACAUGCAAGUUGAGCGAUGAAGAUUGGUGCUUGCACCAAUUUGAAGAGCAGCGAACGGGUGAGUAACGCGUGGGGAAUCUGCCUUUGAGCGGGGGACAGCAUUUGGAAACGAAUGCUAAUACCGCAUAAUAACUUUAAACAUAAGUUUUAAGUUUGAAAGAUGCAAUUGCAUCACUCAAAGAUGAUCCCGCGUUGUAUUAGCUAGUUGGUGAGGUAAAGGCUCACCAAGGCGAUGAUACAUAGCCGACCUGAGAGGGUGAUCGGCCACAUUGGGACUGAGACACGGCCCAAACUCCUACGGGAGGCAGCAGUAGGGAAUCUUCGGCAAUGGACGAAAGUCUGACCGAGCAACGCCGCGUGAGUGAAGAAGGGUUUCGGAUCGUAAAACUCUGUUGGUAGAGAAGAACGUUGGUGAGAGUGGAAAGCUCAUCAAGUGACGGUAACUACCCAGAAAGGGACGGCUAACUACGUG